ACCUCCUAAAAGUGUCAAAAACGACGGAGUCGUCGCAGUUGAUGGCAUCACGGUGUCCUGGCGGCAGACACAAGUCUCCGACCUGCAUGUCAUAGCAGGGGAUGCCGUGCUGUACAACGGGCUCAUGUGUACAUGAUUACCUUCAUUGGGUUGGACUGUGUUUCUCCCUCGUCUUCAGAAUCUUCAUCCGACUCCAUCACAUCCUCUGCCUCCUGCCACUCCACAUUCGGACCUUUGUGGAAGCGCAAACGUGUUCCUAGAGGAAAAAGAUGGGUAGCACAGUGACAAAAGUUUGG